AUUGAACGCUGGCGGCAGGCCUAACACAUGCAAGUCGAGCGAGCGGCGGACGGGUGAGUAAUGUCUGGGAAACUGCCUGAGGGAGGGGGAUAACUCCUGGAAACGGUAGCUAAAACAGCAUACCAUCAGAUGUGCCCAGAUGGGACUAUCUAUUAGGUGUGGUAACGGCUCACCUAGACGACGAUCCCUAGCUGGUCUGAGAGGAUGACCAGCCCCCCUGGAACUGAGACACGGUCCAGACUCCUACGGUAGGAAGCAUUGGGGAUUAUUGCACAAUGGGCGAUAGCCUGAUGCAGCCAUGCCGCGUGUGUGAAGAAGGCCUUCGGGUUGUAAAGCACGUUCAGCGAGGAGGCGUUACUCGCAGAAGAAGCACCGGCUAACUCCGUGCCAGCAGCCGCGGUAAUUC
rnacentral:rRNA from 1 species